GAAAAGCUGGAACCCAGCUGCCCACUUCGGUCGCUCGUGUCCAAAGCCAGACAGGGUGGAGCCAGCAAUCACACAUCCUGAAACAAACCCUGUCCACAAUGAAGAAGCCAUGAGACUGAAGACAAAAGUGAAAUUCUUACUAAGAAACGGGCACCCAGCAAAUUUUUGUCCAUGAGGAAAAGAUUUGAAUAUCAAGGCCACAGAGCACAGAAUCAGCCACAGGUAUUGCUCUAGUGUACAAAUCCAC
rnacentral:lncRNA from 1 species